GGGAAAUUUACUCACUAUAUAAUGUUCAAAUAUAUACAAAAUAGUAAAUCCAAAAAUAAAGUAGCUAAAUCUCCACCACCACUACUAGCAGUGCUAUAACUCUCUACCCAAGUGGAAACAAAACCAGUACAAAAUCAUCAAAUCUUUAAAUAUAAUAGUCCAAGGAAAGAAAUUAGGAUGAAAAGAAAGCAUUUAGCAUGACCACAUUGACUCUCCCAAGCUUGCAUGGUCCACCAUAUCCAUAUCAAAAAUGGGCCUGACCUGUGAUCCCACGAGUCUAGACGAGGGAGACCCACUGUUACUCGGACUAGUAGGGCUCAACACGUGAUGUGAUAUGGUAGUCUGCCGAACCCUAAGGUGCACCACUUCGGCCUGAGCCAGUGCCAACUGGGUUUGGAGUACAUCGAUCUGUUGCUGUAGAGAGGAUAUAGCACCAACGCAGCCAUAGACAGGGUCACGCACUCUCGCAUUUGCUUCGUACACCAUGCUACUCACUGCAUCCCCUCUCUGAUGCACAGGGAGUUCCUGUAGCAUCUUAUUGACAUUGCUAGCACCAAAGACCUUGUGGACAUUAGCGAACUUCUGGGGCUCAUCUGCUGGGAAAUAAGGGGCAAAAACACAAUCUUGGGCACACCUUCUCCUCAGCAGCUUGCAAGCUGCACAUGGUGAUGCUGCACCUUGUUUUCUUCCACUCUCUUUCAUUUUUUUGGCCACGUGUCCCUUCCCCACCAACUAUAUUUUUUACCCUUAAUCUUUAGGGCACUUGUCCCCUAAAAAACAAAGCAAACCACAACAACCUACGGUCAAAUGGCAAAGAAAUAGGUAUUGCUGUAGCGUAGCUGCAGAAGCAGCAGCACAAGAAGAAGAAGGAGAAGAAGAA
rnacentral:misc_RNA from 1 species